ensembl:lncRNA
GUGUGAUUGCUCAGGCCUGUUGUUAAGUUGACGCGGCGCAGUUGCUGUGUUUUCGGGAGCACUGCGCAUGCGCGGCGCUGUGCUGAUGGCGCUGGGUGCAGUAAGCAGGAGGUGAUGUGAGGAGGAGAAUCAGCGGGUAAAGGGUUAAUAAUGUCCGCGGAGAAGAAAAUAACGAAAGAAGACACAUGGAAGGCUGAAGAGUUAAUGAAGCACAUUCAGAGUCUGGAUGGAGAGAACCGGAGGAGAGAACGAACAAAAAGAGAAGAGAUGCACAGAAAACUGCGAAGUGGAGAGUCUCUGGACCGCCGACACCGAGAACCAGAGAGAGACGAGAGGAGAGAGAAACCGAAAGAGAGAGACAGAGAGGAGGAAAGAAGGAGGAGGGACGAGCGAGAGAGGAGAAAAGAAAGAGAAAGGGAUGGAGAGAGACGAGGCUCUGAGAGGAGAGGGGAAGGAGACGAGAGAGAGAACAGAGACAGAGAGAAAGAAAGACAGAGAGAGAGAUAUAAAGACAGAGAUCGAGAGAGAGAGGGAGAACCGGGUAGGGAGAAAGAGAGAGAAAAACACAGAGAUAGAGAAAGAGACAGAGACAAAGAAAGAUCUAGAGAUAUAGACAGAGAUAGAGAAAGGAGCGAGAGACAUAAAGAUCGAGAAAAGAAAGAAAGAGAGAAAGAUAAAGAAAGGAAUAGAGACAGGGACAGAGAUAAGGAGAAAGACAGAUAUAAAGAUAGAGAGAGGGAUGAGAGAUAUAGAGAUAGAGAAAGAGAAAAAGACAGAGAGAAGGAGAAAGAUAGAGGGAGGAGGAGGGCCGAAAAGGAGAGACAAAGAGAAGUGGGGGAAGAAAAGUACAGAGAGAAAGAUAAAGAGCGAGAGAGAGAAAAGAGAGAGCGUCACAGCGAGUACUCCGGACACACAGACAGAGGUAAGACCUAAAAAAAAAUAGUGGUGGAUAAGUUUCUAAAUUAUUAUCACAAUAUUUUAGGGUAUUU